rnacentral:rRNA from 1 species
AACAGAAAGUAGCUUGCUACUUUGCUGACGAGCGGCGGACGGGUGAGUAAUGCUUGGGAACAUGCCUUGAGGUGGGGGACAACAGUUGGAAACGACUGCUAAUACCGCAUAAUGUCUACGGACCAAAGGGGGCUUCGGCUCUCGCCUUUAGAUUGGCCCAAGUGGGAUUAGCUAGUUGGUGAGGUAAUGGCUCACCAAGGCAACGAUCCCUAGCUGGUUUGAGAGGAUGAUCAGCCACACUGGAACUGAGACACGGUCCAGACUCCUACGGGAGGCAGCAGUGGGGAAUAUUGCACAAUGGGCGAAAGCCUGAUGCAGCCAUGCCGCGUGUGUGAAGAAGGCCUUCGGGUUGUAAAGCACUUUCAGUCAGGAGGAAAGGGUGUGAGUUAAUACCUCACAUCUGUGACGUUACUGACAGAAGAAGCACCGGCUAACUCCGUGCCAGCAGCCGCGGUAAUACGGAGGGUGCGAGCGUUAAUCGGAAUUACUGGGCGUAAAGCGUACGCAGGCGGUUUGUUAAGCGAGAUGUGAAAGCCCCGGGCUCAACCUGGGAACUGCAUUUCGAACUGGCAAACUAGAGUGUGAUAGAGGGUGGUAGAAUUUCAGGUGUAGCGGUGAAAUGCGUAGAGAUCUGAAGGAAUACCGAUGGCGAAGGCAGCCACCUGGGUCAACACUGACGCUCAUGUACGAAAGCGUGGGGAGCAAACGGGAUUAGAUACC